GAUGAACGCUGGCGGCGUGCCUAAUACAUGCAAGUCGAGCGAACAGACGAGGAGCUUGCUCCUCUGACGUUAGCGGCGGACGGGUGAGUAACACGUGGAUAACCUACCUAUAAGACUGGGAUAACUUCGGGAAACCGGAGCUAAUACCGGAUAAUAUAUUGAACCGCAUGGUUCAAUAGUGAAAGACGGUUUUGCUGUCACUUAUAGAUGGAUCCGCGCCGCAUUAGCUAGUUGGUAAGGUAACGGCUUACCAAGGCAACGAUGCGUAGCCGACCUGAGAGGAGGACGGCCCACACUGGAACGGGGACCGGGCCCAGCCUCCGAGGGAAGGAGCCGGAGGGGAAUCUCCCGCAUGGGGCAAAACCCGAACGGACCAGCCCGGGGGGAGGAAUAAAGUUUUUGGAUUCUAAAACCUUUGUUUUGGGGAAAAACAAAUUGUUAAAUUACCAAGGCCCGCCUUGACGGAACUAAAUAAGAAAGCCACGCCUAACUACGUC
rnacentral:rRNA from 1 species